rnacentral:rRNA from 1 species
UACGAAGGGGGCGAGCGUUGUUCGGAAUUACUGGGCGUAAAGGGCGCGUAGGCGGCCCCUCUUUGUCGCGUGUGAAAGCCCCGGGCUCAACCUGGGAACGGCGCGCGAAACGGGGGGGGCUGGAGUUCGGGAGAGGAGCGUGGAAUUCCCAGUGUAGAGGUGAAAUCGUAGAUAUUGGGAAGAACACCGGUGGCGAAGGCGGCGCUCUGGACCGAGACUGACGCUGAGGCGCGAAAAGCGUGGGGAGCAAACAGGAUUGAGAAACCCCUGGU